UUUUGGUAUCUUUGGUUUCACCAUUUCAUGAGUUGUUUGUUCACCUCUAAUUGUGAUUUAAUCAUAUCUGAAAGAAGUGUUUCACUAGUUUAUCUCGGUAUGGCACCUAUACGAAUAUUUUCUGCCCUCUCAUAUUAUAUGAUCAACAUCCUUGGUCUGAGUAACAGAGCUGAUUGUACGUUUUUAAUCUCUCAAGAUUACUCGAUCACUAUUCUAAAAGUUCGACACUAUUUUUGUUGAUAUAGGGCUGAUUCGAGAUUAGCAUCCAUCUCAGAAAACAGAAAACUCAAUAGCUUAGAAUGAGCUGCCCCCGGUCUUCCACUGGAUAGAUAUGAAAACCUCCUCACAG